UCAAACUUGCUGCAGACGCCCAGUUAAGAAUCAAGGGUUCUCCAAAUCCAAACAACAUGGACAGCAAGCCGGACGUGCCUCCACUGAAAACUAAUUCAGAUGACCGUCCAACGUAUGUUGCACCACCAGAUGUCUCAGCAUCGCCUUCUGACGAUGUGAUGCAUACUGAUGUGCCGACCGAAAAGUUCUGACGCCGGGAAGAAAGUUGUGACACCACAUAACGCACCUGCACAGCCGGCAGAGGAAUCUUCUACUGGUGCAGCAGCUAAAGCUACAAGUCAUUCCACACCGCCGCUGAAGGUAUCAAGCAGCACAAAACAAAACAACCCAACCUAGACAAGGUUCCAAAUUAUUCUCAGCGGUGAAUUCAGGAUUCACAGAUAUAUUUUAAUCCUCUCGUGUGGAUGGAUGAAGUUAAGA